rnacentral:rRNA from 1 species
UACAGAGGUCUCAAGCGUUGUUCGGAUUCAUUGGGCGUAAAGGGUGCGUAGGCGGCGCGGUAAGUCGGGUGUGAAAUCUCGGGGCUUAACUCCGAAACUGCAUUCGAUACUGCCGUGCUUGAGGACUGGAGAGGAGACUGGAAUUUACGGUGUAGCGGUGAAAAUGCGUAGAUAUCGUAAGGAAGACCAGUGGCGAAGGCGGGUCUCUGGACAGUUCCUGACGUGAGGCA